rnacentral:rRNA from 1 species
GUCCAGACUCCUACGGGAGGCAGCAGUGGGGAAUAUUGCACAAUGGGGGAAACCCUGAUGCAGCGACGCCGCGUGAGUGAAGAAGUAUUUCGGUAUGUAAAGCUCUAUCAGCAGGGAAGAAAAUGACGGUACCUGACCAAGAAGCCCCGGCUAAAUACGUGCCAGCAGCCGCGGUAAUACGUAUGGGGCAAGCGUUAUCCGGAUUUACUGGGUGUAAAGGGAGCGUAGGCGGCAGGGCAAGCCUGAUGUGAAAGCCCGGGGCUCAACCCCGGGACUGCAUUGGGAACUGCCCCGCUCGAGUGCCGGAGGGGCAGGCGGAAUUCCUAGUGUAGCGGUGAAAUGCGUAGAUAUUAGGAGGAACACCAGUGGCGAAGGCGGCCUGCUGGACGGUGUACUGACGCUGAGGCUCGAAAGCGUGGGGAGCAAACAGGAUUAGAUACCCUCGUAC